rnacentral:snRNA from 1 species
AUCUCACCCCUAGUUCUUAUCAGUUUAAUAUCUGAUAUGUGAGCCAUCGGCUCACACGAUAUUAAAUUCAUUUUUUUAGGGGGAGGGCCCACUAAGGUAGCUUGCUGCUUGGGCUCUCAUGCGUCGCCUUUGCGUUGCACUAUUGCAAGGGCCAGGCGCACCCCAC